GAAAUGCGAUAAGUAAUGUGAAUUGCAGAAUUCAGUGAAUCAUCGAAUCUUUGAACGCAUAUUGCGCCCGUCGGCAUUCCGGCGGGCACGCCUGUUCGAGCGUCUUUCCAACCUCUUCGAGCAUUAACUUGCUUGGUCAUGGGCGUUGUCUCCCCUUUGGCAGCGUGCUGCAAUCAAAGGGGCGCCUGAAAGUCAGACUCCUCUUCGAGGAGGGUGCAGUGGAGCUUCUUGUGGCUCUACAGCCGAGGAGAGCGUCUAUGCUACCGCCGUAAGCACCCCCGAGUGUGAUGGGCGUAGUUUUUGAGUGUCCCCUCGGCGUUGCCUUUUUAUUUUAUCAAUGACCUCGGAUCAGGCGGGGAUACCCGCUGAACUUAAGC
rnacentral:misc_RNA from 1 species